rnacentral:lncRNA from 1 species
GGUGUGUUUGGUUGGGCUACAAUUUCCAUGGCUGCAGCUGAAGGAGCGGCUGUAGCUGGUAAUGAAGAGAGGCACUUCACAUUUGCCCACAAGAAGUACAGAGAGGCUUCAAAGCAUGGUAACAUUGUUUAUGAAAAGAAUCCACAAGGGACUGAUAACCUACUUCUUGGAAUUAUCUACUGUAAGUUUAUGACUUGGCUCUAGCUGAAGCUUCUAUUUUCUACCAAAACUGCUGUUGACAUUAGCACAAUUGAUGGUUGCUUCUCCUCUCCUAUUGGCUACAUCUCCUUCCUCUAUAUGUCAAUAUAUCAACAAAACAAGGAUCUCUAAUAUCAUUGUUUUAUGGAGUUCACGGAUUGUUGAAGAUUUUUGCUGCCAUGGAAUUGUGAGUUUGUGACUAUACAUUCUUGUCCUAUAUGUGAAAUUGAAGAUAUAUUGUCUCUGUAUGUGAAUGUAAAUAUCCAGGUAUGUAAGCAAGUCAAUUUUUAUUUACAUAUUUAUCUAUGAAAUGCAAGCAAGCAAAUCACAUCUUAUAGACAAUUGCUCCGUUAUAGGUAAAUCUGAUGAUUCAUAAAUUAACCGGUUGGAGAUCGGUAGACAGUCAAGUGUAUUGAUAACUGGAGUUUAGAGCUCAAAAUCCCUCUAACUUUUCUACUAACUGUAUUUUCUUGACAUCUUUCAGAGAAGAACAAGUACUGUUAGUAUGUAUAAUACAAUUCUGGAGAUGUGAAUGGAUGUAUUCAUUUAGUAAAGUAUUAGUAGAUGAUGAUUUAUUUUCUUUGCUGUCAACUGGUGUAUAUCCGGAUAUGUUUAGUUUGUUUCGAAAUUAAUUUGUAAAGUAGUCUGAACAAUUGUACAGUCUCUCAGUGUAUUAGUACUCUGUUUUUUGGGCAGCUGGAAGAAAUCAGUUUGUCAUGACAUGCGAAAAUGAGUUUAUUUACCUUCACUAUUGCUUUUAUUAGCUAACAAAGAUGUUUGUGAAAUAG